rnacentral:misc_RNA from 1 species
GCGCUCAUGCAUGGAGCUACGUUUCCCGGUGAUUGGCCCCGCAUUCGGAGGGCCCGUGCGAGGCUCAGGAGCGCCAUUGCGGGCGACCGGGACGCGGGACACCGUCGGCGCGCUCCUCGCGGUUCUCGCCCUCGGGCUCGCCCUCCGACUCAUCAUCGCAUACCUGCUCCCGGGGUCUGGCUUCAGGACCGACCUCGAAUCGUUCGACUUCUGGGCACGGAACCUGGCGGCUCAAGGCCCGUUCGGUUUCUACGAGCGGCCAUUCUUCCACGACUACACGC